rnacentral:lncRNA from 1 species
CACAUAUUACCAUCUCAUCUCUCUUUAGCUCCAUGACUUGUGGCAAUGGCUUGAUGAUUGGAGAUUUCUCUUGGUCACCAUUACUUGUGUAAUGGCUAGAUAAUGACCUACUAAUACAACCUAUUAGAUCAGCCCAAUUAGAAGAUUCUAAACCUCAACCUAAACCAACUUUAUCCCUCUCUCUGUGUGUUUCUUUUGGUUCACACGUUUGCCUACCGCUACUCAUGGUCACUUUUCUCUCAUAAUUCUCUCUUCACUCUAUCAUUUCUCUUUUACACAUAACCUCUUAACCAAGCCCUCUUCCUCUCUCUACUCCCUUGUAAUCUCUCUCUCAUAACUCUCUUUCUCAUCUCUCUUCCAUUUCUUUCUCACAGAUCUUACCUUGCUCUUUUUUAUGAGUUCUUUCACAAGAAUGCGGAACUAAAAUAUCACAUAUUGAGGAAAUAUAGGGAGAGG